CAAACCAUUUCCUCUUCCUUCUUAAUACCGAGAUACCGCCUCUUCACCAAUUCCAUUUCCUCUGCACAAUUUCACCGCAGCCACUACACUUCCUCUCCACAACCACAUCUCAUCUCUUCAUCUGCCUUGGACCGAGAGUAAAGGAGAGAGAGUUACCUUGUGAGCUGCAUCCGAGAGCAAGGGAGGAGGGAAUGCGAGCUGCAAAAAUUUUCUGGUUCUGCCGUGAGCUGGAGUGAAACCAGGGAGCAAAUUUUCGGUGAGCUUCACCAUUCUACACCUCCAUCUCCACCAACUCCAACCAACCGAACUCAACCUCACCACAACACCACUCCAGCCGCAACUCAAGAACCAGGACCAGCCGACCCGCGCUUGAAGCCGAGAGGAAGGAAAGAAAAUUCUGGAAUUUUCGUGUGUGAGCUUAGCUGGUAUUUGAGGAUUUAGCGAGGACUUGGACUACGAUUCCCGGCUUGACCUUUGAACUUCACUCUUGGUUCUGGAAACUGAAAGCCUUGAAACUUACCUAUAUUUCUUUUUGGAAUGUAAUUGGAUAGUAUGGCUUAUUUUGUGGGUUGUUUUGUGCUAAAAUUUGAACUACGUACUUUUAGUCUUGGAUUGCCGCGUGAAGCUGGAAAAUGUGUAAAACUUAAUUUGGA